rnacentral:rRNA from 1 species
GACAGAGGGUGCAAACGUUGUUCGGAAUUACUGGGCGUAAAGCGCGUGUAGGCUGCUCGGAAAGUCGGAUGUGAAAGCCCUGGGCUCAACCCAGGAAGUGCAUUCGAAACUCCCGAGCUUGAGUUUCGGAGAGGCAGGCGGAAUUCUCGGUGUAGAGGUGAAAUUCGUAGAUAUCGAGAGGAACACCGGUGGCGAAGGCAGCUCGCUGGGACGUGACUGACGCUGAGACGCGAAAGCGUGGGGAGCAAACAGG